CGGGGGGAGCAAGCGUUGUUCGGAUUUACUGGGCGUAAAGGGCGCGUUAGGCGGCCACCGCAGGUCGACUGUGAAAUCUCCGGGCUUAACCCGGAAAGGUCAGCCGAUACUGCGGGGCUAGAGUGCAGAAGGGGCAACUGGAAUUCUCGGUGUAGCGGUGAAAUGCGUAGAUAUCGAGAGGAACACCUGCGUCGAAGGCGGGUUGCUGGGCUGACACUGACGCUGAUGCGCGAAAGCUAGGGGAGCGAACGGGAUUAGAUACCCCGGUAGUCCUAGCCUUAAACGAUGAAUGCUUGGUGUCUGGGGUUUUAUAGUCCCCGGGUGCCGUCGCUAACGCUUUAAGCAUUCCGCCUGGGGAGGUACGGUCGCAAGACUG
rnacentral:rRNA from 1 species